GUGGGGAAUAUUGGGCAAUGGAGGAAACUCUGACCCAGCGACGCCGCGUGAGGGAUGAAGGCCUUCGGGUUGUAAACCUCUUUCAGUAGGGAAGAAGCGAAAGUGACGGUACCUACAGAAGAAGCACCGGCUAACUAUGUGCCAGCAGCCGCGGUAAUACAUAGGGUGCAAGCGUUGUCCGGAAUUAUUGGGCGUAAAGAGCUCGUAGGUGGUUCGAUACGUCGGAUGUGAAAAUCAGGGGCUCAACCCCUGACCUGCAUCCGAUACGGUCGAGCUAGAGUUUGGUAGGGGAGACUGGAAUUCCUGGUGUAGCGGUGGAAUGCGCAGAUAUCAGGAGGAACACCGAUGGCGAAGGCAGGUCUCUGGGCCAAUACUGACACUGAGGAGCGAAAGCGUGGGGAGCGAACAGGAUUAGAAACCCUAGUAGUCC
rnacentral:rRNA from 1 species